rnacentral:rRNA from 1 species
GAUGAACGCUAGCGACAGGCCUAACACAUGCAAGUCGAGGGGCAGCACAUGAGUAGCAAUACGAUGGUGGCGACCGGCGCACGGGUGAGUAACACGUAUGCAACCUGCCUGUAAAUGGGGCAUAACCCGGAGAAAUUCGGACUAAUACCGCAUAACACUGUGUUUUCGCAUGGGAAUACAGUUAAACAUUUAUGGUUUACAGAUGGGCAUGCGUAUGAUUAGUUAGUUGGUGAGGUAACGGCUCACCAAGACAACGAUCAUUAGGGGUUCUGAGAGGAAGGUCCCCCACACUGGUACUGAGACACGGACCAGACUCCUACGGGAGGCAGCAGUGAGGAAUAUUGGUCAAUGGGCGAGAGCCUGAACCAGCCAAGUCGCGUGAAGGAAGAAUGUCCUAUGGAUUGUAAACUUCUUUUGCAGGGGAAUAAAAAGAGUUACGUGUAACUUAUUGUAUGUACUCUGCGAAUAAGGAUCGGCUAACUCCGUGCCAGCAGCCGCGGUAAUACGGAGGAUCCAAGCGUUAUCCGGAUUUAUUGGGUUUAAAGGGUGCGUAGGCGGGAGAUUAAGUCAGUGGUGAAAGUUUGCAGCUUAACUGUAAAAUUGCCAUUGAAACUGAUUUUCUUGAGUGCAAAUGAGGUAGGCGGAAUGUGUUGUGUAGCGGUGAAAUGCUUAGAUAUAACACAGAACCCCGAUUGCGAAGGCAGCUUACUGGGAUGCAACUGACGCUGAUGCACGACAGCGUGGGGAUCAAACAGGAUUAGAUACCCUGGUAGUCCACGCAGUAAACGAUGAAUACUAACUGUUUGCGAUAUACAGUAAGCGGUACAGCGAAAGCGUUAAGUAUUCCACCUGGGGAGUACGUUCGCAAGAAUGAAACUCAAAGGAAUUGACGGGGGCCCGCACAAGCGGAGGAACAUGUGGUUUAAUUCGAUGAUACGCGAGGAACCUUACCCGGGCUUGAAAUGCAGACGACCGACUUGGAAACAGGUCUUCCAGCAAUGGCGUCUGUGUAGGUGCUGCAUGGUUGUCGUCAGCUCGUGCCGUGAGGUGUCGGCUUAAGUGCCAUAACGAGCGCAACCCUUAUCAUUAGUUGCCAGCGGGUGAUGCCGGGAACUCUAAUGAGACUGCCACCGUAAGGUGUGAGGAAGGUGGGGAUGACGUCAAAUCAGCACGGCCCUUACGUCCGGGGCGACACACGUGUUACAAUGGGGGGUACAGAGGGUUGCUACCACGCGAGUGGAUGCUAAUCUCAUAAAGCCUCUCUCAGUUCGGAUCGGAGUCUGCAACUCGACUCCGUGAAGCUGGAUUCGCUAGUAAUCGCGCAUCAGCCAUGGCGCGGUGAAUACGUUCCCGGGCCUUGUACACACCGCCCGUCAAGCCAUGGAAGCCGGGGGGACCUGAAGUACGUGACCGUCACAGGAGCGUCCUAGGGUAAAACCGGUAACUGGGGCU